rnacentral:rRNA from 1 species
GAGUUUGAUCUUGGCUCAGAUUGAACGCUGGCGGCAUGCCUUACACAUGCAAGUCGAACGGCAGCAUGAUCUAGCUUGCUAGAUUGAUGGCGAGUGGCGAACGGGUGAGUAAUACAUCGGAACGUGCCCUGUAGUGGGGAUAACUAGUCGAAAGAUUAGCUAAUACCGCAUACGACCUGAGGGUGAAGUGGGGGACCGGCAAGGCCUCAUGCUAUAGGAGCGGCCGAUGUCUGAUUAGCUAGUU